rnacentral:rRNA from 1 species
UACGAAGGGGGCUAGCGUUGUUCGGAAUUACUGGGCGUAAAGCGCACGUAGGCGGGUUAUUAAGUCAGGGGUGAAAUCCCGGAGCUCAACUCCGGAACUGCCUUUGAUACUGGUAAUCUAGAGAUCGGAAGAGGUUAGUGGAAUUCCCAGUGUAGAGGUGAAAUUCGUAGAUAUUGGGAAGGACACCAGUGGCGAAGGCGGCUAACUGGUCCGAUACUGACGCUGAGGUGCGAAAGCGUGGGGAGCAAACAGG